rnacentral:lncRNA from 1 species
AGUAUAAUGAUUGAAGAAUGUGGAGGUUUAGACAAAAUUGAAGCCCUACAAAACCUUGAAAAUGAGUCUGUGUAUAAGGCUCAUUAAGCUUAAUUGAGAAGUAUUUCUUGUAGAGGAAGAGGAAGAUCAAAAUGUUGUGCCAGAAACUACCUCUGAAGGCUGCACCUUCCAAGUGCAGGGUGGGACUCCUGGGACCCUUAAC